rnacentral:rRNA from 1 species
GACGAACGCUGGCGGCGUGCUUAACACAUGCCAGUCGAACGGAAAGGCCCUGCUUUUGUGGGGUGCUCGAGUGGCGAACGGGUGAGUAACACGUGAGUAACCGUCCCUUGACUUUGGGAUAACUUCAGGAAACUGGGGCUAAUACCGGAUAGGAGCUCCUGCGGCAUGGUGGGGGUUGGAGAGUUUCGGCGGUUGGGGAUGGACUCGCGGCUUAUCAGCUUGUUGGUGGGGUAGUGGCAUACCAAGGCUUUGACGGGUAGCCGGCCUGGGAGGGUGACCGGCCACAUUGGGACUGCGAUACGGCCCAGACUCCUACGGGAGGCAGCAGUGGGGAAUAUUGCACAAUGGGCGGAAGCCUGAUGCAGCAACGCCGCGUGCGGGAUGACGGCCUUCGGGUUGUAAACCGCUUUCGCCUGUGACGAAGCGUGAGUGACGGUAAUGGGUAAAGAAGCACCGGCUAACUACGUG